rnacentral:rRNA from 1 species
CUUAAAAUCACGCCAUCCUGAGCAAACCCAACCUCGGAAGCUAAGCAGGGUCAGGCCUGAUUAGUACUUGGCAGGAUGGCAGACCACCCGGGAAUACCAAAUGCUGUUAGGG